CUGGCCUAUACCACAACCACAGAAGCACCAGAUCUGAGCCAUAUCUGUGACCUACAUUGUGGCUCGUGGCAACACUGCCAGAUCCUUAACCCACUGAGUGGUGAGGCUAAGGAUCGAAACCAUGUCCUCGUGUAUACUAGUUGUGUUUGUUACCACUGACACAGAGUGGGAACUCUGGGGGAGGAAUUUCUUAACAGCUGGAGUAAUCAUUAGCUCAGACAAUCUCUGUUUUGUUUUGUUUGUUUAAAACAUGAUUUUUUAAGAUAAAUACUGUUGGAAUAUACUUAACUUACAAUCUUAUAUUGCUUUCAGGCAUACAGUACAGUAAAUCAGUUAUACAUAAUAUCCAUUCCUUUUCAGAUUAUUUUCCUAUAUAAAUUACUACAUAGUACUGAGUAAAUUGCUCUGUGCUAUAGAGUAGGUUCUUGUUACCUAUCUAUUUUAAAUAUAGUAGUGUAUACAUGUCAAUCCCAACCCCCUAGUUUAUCCCUCCUCCUAUGUUUCCCCUUUGGUAACUAUAAAUUUGGUUUCAAAUUCUUUGAUUAUGUUUCUGUUCUCUAAGGUCUUUGGUAUCAUUUUUAUUAUAUUCCACAUGUUGGUGUUCUCAUGAUAUUUGUCUUUCUCUGUCUUACUUCAUUUAGCAUGAUAAUCUCUAGGUCCAUACAUGUUGCUUCAAAUGUCAUUAUUUCAUUUUUUAUAGCUGAGUAGUAUCCCAUUGUAUAUAUGUACCACAUCUUCCUUAUCCAAUCCUCUGUCAAUGGACAUUUAGGUUGCUUCUGUCUUGACUACUGUAAAUAGUGCUGUGAAGUAUAUUGGGGUGCCUGUAUCUUUUCAAAUUGUGGUUUUCUCCAGAUAGAUACCUAGGAGUAGGAUUGCUGGAUCAUAGGGUAUUUCUAUAUUUACUUUUUAAAAUAAAUCUCCAUACCGUUCUUCACCAGGGUAGGAGGGUUCCCUUUUUUCCAUACCUUCUCCAGCAUUUUUUGUUUGUAGACUUUUUGAUGAUGACCAUUCUGACUGGUGAGGGUACCUCAUUAUAGUUUUGAUUUGCAUUUCUUUAGUAAUUAGUGAUAUUGUAGCUCAAACAGUAUUUAAGAAAAAGAAAAAACAAAAGCAGAACUCAACAUGGCAGACAUUCACUGUUUACCUAAUUUGGGUACUGUGCAGGCCCUCUGGUUAGGGGGAUAAUAAAUACAUGGAGACAAGGUACUGGCUUAUGAUCAAGUUUAGAAUUUAGAAUUGAAUAUUUGCAAAAUACACACAUGUGCACACACACACACACACACACACACAUAAACACAGAAAAUGUACUACACAUAGCAUACUCUCCCACUUACCCACCUAGACUGUCCUAACCUCUUGAUUUGCUUCAACACUGAUAUUCUCUCCAGCCUAUUAGAAUUGAUUCUCUUAAACCCUUGAUUCCCAUAAAUAUUCCCUGUGACAUUAGCUUGCUCUCUGUUGAGGUUAUGUUUUUAACACCAUCUUUUUUUUUCUUUGCUUUUUAGGGCCACACCUGCAGCAUAUGGAAGUUCCCAAGUUAGGGGUCCAAUCAGAGCUACAGCUGCUGGCCUUUGCCACAGCCACAGAAACAUCAGAUCCAAGCUGUGACCUAUACCACAGCUCACAGCAAUGCUGGAUCCUUAACCCACUAAGCAAGGCCAGGGAUUGAACACUCAACCUCACAGUUCCUAGUCAGAUUCAUUUCCACUGCGCUAUGAUGGGAACUCCAACACCAUCAUUUUUGGUAAAAAAUUAUGCAUCACUCUCAAUCCUUCCACUCAGAUAUAACCACUGUUAGUUAGCAUAGUGAUGUAUGUUCUCUUAUUUUUGUUCUAUAUAUAUUCUUUUCUUUUACAAAUUAAUAGGGUUUCACUUGCCAUUCCUAGAAUACAAUUUGUUUAUAUAGGUGAAGCUGUGGAAGGAUAUAUGCAAAAUUGUUAACUGUGGUUUUUCUCUGGGGAAGGAAGGAUGUUGGGAUAUUUAUCUUAUUCUUGCAAGUCUAUGUUGUCAUUUUAAACAAUAAAGAUGUAUUUAGGUAAAUUAAUAACAUUUAUAAAAGGAGAAAAUAAAAUCUCUACUCCCAGUGCAGUUGCCAAUAAAAAAUAUCUGUUCAUUCAUUGUCUUAUGGCAGUAGUCCUCAUCCUUGGGGACAUGGCAGGAGAGGAAAGUAUUCUGUCUGGAUCCUAAUUUUUUUUUCCAAGAGAGGAAUAAGAAAAGAAAAAUGAGAAAGAGGAGCCUUGAUUUUCUACUAGAGGCUUCAAAUGCUUAAUAAACAAAAGAGCAAACAUCAGGGAAUAACACUUCAAUUCAUUGAGGGAAUAUUCUCAUCAGCUUCUAAGAGGAAGGAGCUUUUGUGAAGAGAAAGCAGAACUGGCUCAAAGUUAGGAGGCAUGAGUUUUAGCUCCAGGUCUGUGAAAACCAAUAUUGGUGAAUCUGCAGAAGUUAUAGUGUCCAUUUUGGGUUCAACUUCCUGCCUCAUGAAAGAACUAUUUUUAUAAUAUUUUAAAAUUGAAAAUUUUGAGGGUUCAAGCUUUUUAACCUUGCCAAGUAAGGAGGAUGUAAAGGAAAAAGCAAACAAACAGCAAAAUCAAAACCUGUCAUCAAACUCCAUCCAUAUUUCGCAAAUGAAAUGACACAUUAGCACAAAAAGUGACAUGGUCUCAUAUUCUAAAAAUUAACUUUAUGUAAAAAAAAAAAGAAUUCUCAAAAUUUUCUCUUGUUUGUCUUUUUCCUCCAUUGGCAAGUAUAUAUUUUGCCAUGGAUUGCAUUUGGGAAUCUUGGCAAUAAGCCCUCUCACAUUUCUUUCUGAGGCCAUCAUGCUGGCAUGAUGUGACCCUAAGCCUGACCAUGAAUAGCACACUGGACCCUGAAAGGCAAAUUCAAGGACUCAGAGGGAAAGUAGAAGCUACACUGUAGAGCAGAGAAGUUCAGCACUGAGAAAGCAUUCAUUAUGGAACAAAUGCCACAUGCCACAUACUCUUCUGGGUGAAGGAAUUCCACAGAGCACAAUACAAACACAAGAGCUGCCUUCAUGGAACUUAUGUUCUAUUAAGAGGACAAGAUUAUUAGCAAAGAAACAGCAAAUAGAUCGUAUAUCACCUGGUCUUAAAUAUUACAGAGAAAAACAAAACAUGGUAAGUCUGAUACAUAGAGUCGUUUAAGUGUGAAAAGUGAACAAAGAAGGUCUUACUGAGCAGAGAUGAGAAGGAAAGGCAGGGAGAGUGCCAUGUAGACACCUGAGGGAAAAAAUUUUUAGUACAGGAAAUAGUAAAUAGAGAUGCGCUUAGACAGGUGUGUGCUUGAUAGGGUUGAGGAACAGCUAUGCACAGAGGGAUGGGGAAGAAAAUGAUAUUGCAUUAGUUGAGGACCAGAACAUACAGGACCUUACAAGCUCAAGCAAGACUGACUUUUCUCUGAGUGCAUGGUGAGCUGUCAGCGGGAAUUGAGUGGAGGAGCGACAUAGCUGACUUCUGUUUUUAUAAAAUUCUCUGCUAAUAUAUAAAAUGACUCCACGUGGACAAAGAAAGAAGCAGGGGAUCUAGUUGAUGCUACAAGUUCCAGUCUGAGCAAUGAAAAAGAAUAUUUUAGAGCAUAAAAUAUAUACCUGAAAAGUACCCCUGUGGUAGUGUAGUGGCUGUUGUUGUUCUUGCUGUUAUUUUAGGAAAUAGGGAAAUAGGGAAAAAUAUGGUAUUCAAUAUUUCUAUAAAGAUUGUAUCUCAAAAUAUGCAGAGAAAUCAUUUGACAAAGUCAAACAUCCAUUCAUGAUAAAAACUCUUACCAAAGUGGAUAUAGAGGGAACAUACUUUAACAUAAUAAAAGCCACUUAUGACAAACCCACAGCAAAUAUAAUACUCAAUGGAGAAUAGCUGAAAUUCUUCCCAAUAAAAUCUGGAACAAGACAAGGAUGCCCACUCUCACCACUGUUUUUCAACAUAGUAUUGGAAGUCCUAGCCACAGCAAUCAUACAAACUAAAGAAGUUAAAGGCACCCAAAUAGGAAGAGAAGAGGUAAAACUGUCAUUGUAUGCAGAUGACAUGAUACUAUAUAUAUAGAAAACCCUUAGGACUCAACCCAAAAACUACUCAAACAUAUCAAUGAAUUCAGCAAAGUAGCAGGACAUAAGAUUUACAUUCUGAAAUCAGUUGCAUUUCUGUAUACUAACAAUGAAAUAGUGGAAAAAGAAUACAAAAAUACAAUACCUUUUAAAGUUGCACCCCCCAAAAUUAAAAUAACUGGAGAUAAACCUGACUAAGAAGGUGAAAGUUUUAUAUGCUGAGGACUAUAAAACAUUAAUCAAGGAAAUUAAAGAGGAUGCAAAUAAAUGUAAAGAUAUUCCAUGCUCAUGGGUUGGAAAAAUCAAUACAGUAAAAAUGGCCAUACUACCCAAAGCAAUCUACAGAUUCAAUGCAAUCCCUAUCAAAUUACCCAUGACAUUUUUCACAGAACUAGAACAAACAAUCCAAAAAUUUAUAUGGAACAACAAAAGACCUAGAAUUGCCAAAGCAAUCCUAAGGAACAAAAACCAAGCAGGAGGCAUAACUCUCCCAGACUUCAGGUAAUAUUACAAAGCCACAGUCAUCAGGACAGUAUGGUACUGGUACCAAAAAAGACAUAUAGACCAAUGGAACAGAAUACAAAACCCAGAUAUAAACCCAGACACUUAGGGUCAAUUAAUCUUCUACAAAGGAGGCAAGAGUAUAAAAUAGGAAAAAGACAGUCUUUUCAGCAAGUGGUGCUAGAAAACUGGACAGCUGCAUACAAGUCAAUGAAACUGGAACACACCCAAACACCAUGCACAAAAAUCAGCUAAAGGAGUUCCCGUUGUGGUGCAGUGGUUAAUGAAUAUGACUAGGAACCAUGAGGUUGCGGGUUCGGUCCCUGCCCUUGCUCAGUGGGUUGACGAUCCAGCGUUGUCCUGAGCUGUGGUGUAGGUUGCAGACACGGCUCGGAUCCCACGUUGCUGUGGCUCUGGUGUAGGCUGGCGGCUACAGCUCCAAUUCGACCCCUAACCUGGGACCUCCAUAUGCCGCAGGAGCGGUUCAAGAAAU
rnacentral:lncRNA from 1 species